GGGGCUGUAGCUCAGUGGUAGAGCACUUGUCUCGCAUGCAUGAGGCACUGGGUUCUAUCCUCAGCAUCA
rnacentral:tRNA from 1 species